UACGGAGGGUGCAAGCGUUAAUCGGAAUUACUGGGCGUAAAGCGUGCGCAGGCGGUUUGUUAAGUCCGCUGUGAAAUCCCCGAGCUCAACUUGGGAAUUGCAGUGGAUACUGGCAGGCUGGAGUACGGUAGAGGAAGGUGGAAUUCCCGGUGUAGCAGUGAAAUGCGUAGAGAUCGGGAGGAACACCAGUGGCGAAGGCGGCCCGCUGGGCAGUGGCUGACGCUGAGGCGCGACAGCGUGGGGAGCAAACAGG
rnacentral:rRNA from 1 species